rnacentral:rRNA from 1 species
UACGGAGGAUCCAAGCGUUAUCCGGAUUUAUUGGGUUUAAAGAGCGUGUAGGCGGCCAGGUAGGUCGGUUGUGAAAACUGGAGGCUCAACCUUCAGAGGUCGACCGAAACCAUCUGGCUAGAGUCCGGGAGAGGAGAGUGGAAUUCCUGGUGUAGCGGUGAAAUGCGCAGAUAUCAGGAAGAACACCCGUGGCGAAAGCGGCUCUCUGGAACGGUACUGACGCUGAGACGCGAAAGCGUGGGGAGCGAACAGG